UACGUAGGUGGCAAGCGUUGUCCGGAUUUACUGGGCGUAAAGAGCGCGCAGGCGGUCGUUCAAGUCGCGUGUGAAAGCCCCCGGCUCAACUGGGGAGGGUCACGCGAUACUGAUCGACUCGAAGGCAGGAGAGGGUAGUGGAAUUCCCGGUGUAGUGGUGAAAUGCGUAGAUAUCGGGAAGAACACCGGUGGCGAAGGCGGCUCGCUGGGCCGUUGCUGACGCUGAGGCGCGAAAGCGUGGGGAGCGAACAGG
rnacentral:rRNA from 1 species